rnacentral:misc_RNA from 1 species
GAUGAAGAACGCAGCGAAAUGCGAUACUUGGUGUGAAUUGCAGAAUCCCGUGAACCAUCGAGUCUUUGAACGCAAGUUGCGCCUCAAGCCAUUAGGUUGAGGGCACGUCUGCCUGGGCGUCACAUAUCGUUGCCUGAUGCCAGUUUCCUCGUGAUGGGUGACUGUGCAGGGCGAAUGAUGGCUUUCCGUGAGCAUUGUUGCCUCAUGGUUGGUUGAAAAUUGAGUCCUUGGUAGGGAGCGCCGUGAUAGAUGGUGGUUGAGUGACGAACGAGACCCAAUCAUGUGAGACCCCUACCGAAUUUGGCCUUCAUGACCCACAUGCGUCUUUGGAACGCUCAUGACGAGACCUCAGGUCAGGCGGGGCUACCCGCUGAGUUUAAGCAUAUCAAUAAGCGGAGGA